rnacentral:rRNA from 1 species
GAUGAACGCUGGCGGCGUGCCUAAUACAUGCAAGUCGAGCGAACAGACGAGGAGCUUGCUCCUCUGACGUUAGCGGCGGACGUGUCAGUAACAGGUCGAUAACCUACCUAUAAUACUGGGAUAACUUCGGGAAACCGGAGCUAACACCGGAUAAUAAAUUGAACAUCAUGGUUCAAUACUCAAUGACGGUUUUGCUGUCACUUAUAGAUGGAUCCGGGCCGGAUUAGCUAGUUGGUAAGGUAACGGCUUACCAAGGCGACGAUGCGUAGCCGACCUGAGAGGGUGACCAGCCACACUGGGACUGAGACACGGUCCAGACUCCUACGGGAGGCAGCAGUAGGGAAUCUUCCGCAAUGGGCGAAAGCUUGACGGAGCAACGCCGCGUGAGUGAUGAAGGUCUUCGGGUCGUAAACCUCUGUUAUCAGGGAAGAACAAAUGUGUACGUAACUAUGCACGUCUUGACGGUACCUGAUCAGAAAGCCACGGCUAACUACGUG